CACAGUUGCAUGGAUUCACUCUCUGGGCCUUAGGCCUUCCCUCUGGAAAAUGCGAUGAUACUAACCUAGGGCUACAGUGGAGCUCGAAUGAGAAGGCAAGCAUUCCGUACUGCAUGACUCCGAGCUCUCGCAAAUCCUGAACUCCAGGACUUGUUUUCCUACUUUUCUAUCAACCAGUCAACAGAAGUCCUAACAUCAUACCCUUGUACUGACUGGGCUGUGGGGAGCAGCUGAGUGCCGUGAUUUCGAACCCACCUGGGCACUUACUAACUGCAUGGGCAAGUCACUUAACUUUCCAGAGCCUCCAUUCCUUCCCCUGAUAAAUACAAAUAACAGUUAAGGGUUCUCUCGCCUCAUCGCAUUGUUGCAGAGGUGACUGGAGAUUGCCAUUGCAAGUACCUUGCAAACCAAAAACACGAAACGUACUCUGAAAGCCGUGUGAGGACUGCCGCACUGAGGUUUUAUGUCUUCCUUCUCUCCCUCCAUCCCUCCCACCUGCUCUCAGAAAAAGGAACAGAAAUGACUUCUUACUCACACCGGGCGUGAUCCCUGCAGGAGGAAGCUUAACUUUUAGUUGGCAUCAAGGCUUUAAAGUAAGGGAAGGGAAGUGGAAUUUCAGGAGCUGAGGAGUAGGAGGAGAAUUUGGGGGUCAGAGAGCCUUUCUCAGUAAUUGAAAUGGCAUCAUAAGCAAUGGCAUGGAGAGUGCUUUCAAAAGCUCCCUGCGCUCUCCUCUUUGGUCGUUUCUCAUAGAAACUUGAAGAAGAGCCAUUCACUUCUCCUUGAGCCUCAGUUUCCUUCCGCGUGGAAUGAGAGAGUUGGACAUGAAGACCUCUGAGCCUUCUGCUUCUUUCAGAUACCGCGUCUGCUCACCUCACUCCCACACCCGUGGAGGGGACAGAGCCUGGCCACCCAAUGGGGAGCCCUGGGCAGGCCCAGGGUGGGCUCAGGACCACGUGGGCGUCCGGCCCAGGACACUUCAAGAAGAGUUGAGAGAUGUAAGAAAAUCGCCCCAAGUCCUAAGGAGGCAAGAGGCAGAGCCAGGGCACUUUCCACUACACUAAUGGCGGGAAAUUUCACGGGCAGAAUAAACUAUCCCAAGUCUAAUCAGUGAUUUGAACAUAUUGGAAACGUGAGAAAGCAGUGGGCAGGCCAGCGGCGUCAGGGUGACCGUGGGACUAUGAGACUCUCAUACUCUUGGUGGCAGUGAAAGUGUCCCAUCAAAAUACAGUGAGGUGGUGUGCAACCAGGAGGGCCAUGCCCCUUGCCCUGCAUCAGAUGUGUGGGAAUUUUAGGAAACAGCCUCUUGAAUUUCCUUGGAACAAAGUGCUUAAUUGUUGUCAAUUAAGCAUCAAUCGGGAUUUCAAAGAAGCAUUCCAGAAUCAGAAGUGUUUUUUUUGAAAAAACACUCAUAAUUUACAAAUGCGUACCACUCCCUGUCCUCUGUCCUCUCCCAAGCAGUGGAAACAACCGUUGGAGGAUGGUUCUAUCCACUCCACAGGGUAUUUCGUAGCUCUUGAGAAUGACCAUUACAAAGAGUCCUUAAUAACAUAAGGAAGUGUAAAUGCUAUAAGGUCAGAUUCACAACUGUACAGACAAGAUGGUCACAGAUGUUUAAGAGAAAAAAAAGGAACAAAGAAUGCAAGAACCAAAACCAACAUAUAGUAAACAGAUU